CAAAAACAUGUCCUUAAGGUCUGACCUGCGGCCGCGGCCGUGCAAAGGUAGCAUAAUCAUUAGUCUUUUAAUAGAGGGCUGGAAUGAACGGUUUCACGAGGAACUGACUGUCUCAUUUUAUUUGAAAACUUAAUUUUUUAGUUAAAAAGCUAAAAUUUCAUUGGAAGACGAGAAGACCCUAUAGAUCUUUAUAUAUAUUUUGUUGGGGUGACAAAAAUAUUUUUCAUUUAUUUACCAUUGAUAUAUGAAUAUUAGAUCCAUUAUUAUUGAUUGUUAGAAUAAGUUACCUUAGGGAUAACAGCGUAAUCCUCCUCCAGAGUUCAUAUUUACUUGCGACCUCCGAUGUUGGAUUAAGAUAAUAAUUAGGUGUAGCCGCUUAAUUUAUAGGUCUGUUCGACCUUUAAAUUCUUACAU
rnacentral:rRNA from 1 species